AUUUAUAAUCUGGCACCUUCGGUGUCCGAGUUGUAAUCUCUAGAAAUGUUUUCCGCGUUGGACCGCACACAAGUCUGUUGGAAUACAGCGGCAUAGUGGUGAGACCCCCGUAUAUGGUGCGGACGCCCAGCGCUUUGUGAUACAUUUUCGAAGAGUCGAGUUGUUUGGGAAUGCAGCUCAAAUUGGGUGGUAAAUUCCAUCUAAAGCUAAAUAUUGGCGAGAGACCGAUAGCGAACAAGUACCGUGAGGGAAAGAUGAAAAGCACUUUGGAAAGAGAGUUAACAGUACGUGAAAUUGUUGGAAGGGAAACGCUUGAAGUCAGACUUGCUUGCCGAGCAAUCGGUUUGCAGGCCAGCAUCAGUUUUCCGGGAUGGAUAAUGGUAGAGAGAAGGUAGCAGUUUCGGCUGUGUUAUAGCUCUCUGCUGGAUACAUCUUGGGGGACUGAGGAACGCAGUGUGCCUUUGGCGGGGGUUUCGACCUCUUCACACUUAGGAUGCUGGUGGAAUGGCUUUAAACGACCCG
rnacentral:rRNA from 1 species